rnacentral:rRNA from 1 species
UUUGAAAGGGAAACGAUUGAAGUCAGUCGUACCGACGAGAAAUCAGCUCUUUGAGUGUGAACUUGUGAGCGUGCUUGAGUCUUUAACGGGUCUUGCUGUUUGCAAUGUUUGUGCUUUUUGGGUGUUCUUUUUCGUAUGGUUGGCCAAUAUCAGUUUCGAUCAUCAUAAAAUGAUCAGAGGAAUGUAGCUUCGAUCUCGUAUUGAAGUGUUAUAGCCUUUGGUAGAUGUGGUAAUUGAAACUGAGGAUUGCAACGAAUACCUUUUGGGCUAUCCGUCUGGCCUCUGAAAGUUGCCUAGGUUGCC